AGUAAUGCAUCGGAACGUACCCCGUAGCGGGGAUAACCCGGCGAAAGCCGGGCUAAUACCGCAUAUGCUCUACGGAGGAAAGUGGGGGAACCGCAAGGACCUCACACUAUGGGAGCGGCCGAUGCCCGAUUAGCUUGUUGGUGGGGUAAUGGCUUACCAAGGCGACGAUCGGUAGCUGGUCUGAGAGGAUGAUCAGCCACACUGGGACUGAGACACGGCCCAG
rnacentral:rRNA from 1 species